UACGUAGGGCGCAAGCGUUGUCCGGAAUUAUUGGGCGUAAAGAGCUCGUAGGCGGCUUGUCACGUCGGGUGUGAAAGCCCGGGGCUUAACCCCGGGUCUGCAUUCGAUACGGGCUAGCUAGAGUGUGGUAGGGGAGAUCGGAAUUCCUGGUGUAGCGGUGAAAUGCGCAGAUAUCAGGAGGAACACCAAUGGCGAAGGCAGCUCGCUGGGACGUUACUGACGCUGAGACGCGAAAGCGUGGGGAGCGAACAGG
rnacentral:rRNA from 1 species